rnacentral:tRNA from 1 species
AAGAAAUUAGUUAAAUUUUAUAACAUAUAUUUGUCAAGUAUAAAUUAUCUUUUUCUAGAUAUUUCUUA